UAGUGCUGCACACCUACCAAAAUGUGAUAAAACUGCUAUUUUUAAAAAAAUGUUUGUAUAUAUAUAUAAUUAUUAUACCAACAUAGAGAGUAGUAACUGUGAUGAUUGGUUGUUUUCUGCUUUGAUUUUCUUAUUGGUUCCUGCUCCUAAUUACACCAGUGAUGAUCCUGAUGAAUCCCUGGGCUUUAAGUGUCUCCAGACGAGUUGGUCUUCGCUGAUGCAUCACACCGUUUUUGGUUUUGCCUGCCCAGGGUUGUUACCUCAAGGAACCUAAAGAAAAUCAAGGAACCUGGCCACUCUGCCUGAAGAUCUCUGUUGCUCUGUGGAUCAUUCCUUCUUACCAGGACUGACUCGUCCACAGAAACCUGUAAGAAAAGAAGGAAAGCAUAUCUCACUAAACUACUGAAGGAACUAUUGUGUUUAAAGAAGACUCACCUGGACACUUCCCCUUUUUUACAGAUCUGUCAGAAUACAYUCAUUCCACUCUUGUAAAUAAAAUCACUUACCUUUUUU